GCGAACUUCCUCUCGGCUCCCGACAUCCUCCUCGAUACGCACUCUGCCACAACGGGCAGGGUCCCUUUCAGCGUCUCAUCCACAGUGAACGGGAGUUGAGGCUUUCUUAGCGGAGGGGCUGGAGGGACACAGCAGGAGGGCAGGAGGGCAGGUGGAGGGACAUGGCAGGAGGGCAGGUGAAGGGACACAGCAGGAGGGCAGGUGGAGGGACACGGCAGGAGGGCAAGUGGAGGGACAUGGCAGGAGGGCAGGAGGGCAGGUGGAGGGACGUGGCAGGAGGGCAGGUGGAGGGACAUGGCAGGAGGGCAGGAGGGCAGGUGGAGGGACGUGGCAGGAGGGCAGGUGGAGGGACAUGGCAGGAGGGCAGGUGGAGGGACACAGCAGGAGGGCAGGUGGAGGGGCAUGGCAGGAGGGCAAGAGGGCAGGUGGAGGGACACGGCAGGAGGGCAGGUGGAGGGACACGGCAGGAGGGCAGGUGGAGGGACACCGCAGGAGGGCAGGUGGAGGGACACGGCAGGAGGGCAGGUGGAGGGACAGAGCAGGAGGGCAGGUGGAGGGACAGAGCAGGAGGGCAGGCCUCCCCUGCGGUUUCCGGAUGCUACGGGGUGGAUCGGAGUGUGGUGUUAAGCACAUCUGGACACGCUCUGUCCGAGACACAUAGUCCCCAGGGGACCUACAGCCACAGCCUGACCUCCUGAAAAUUUCCCAGCUUCCCACAGUCCUCAAUGUGGAAACCAGUGCCCAAAGGCCACCUGCCCACACUGGCACCGAAUUCCCUCGGCAGGACCACGCCACUGCCUGCUCACAGCCUGGGCCUGCUGCACCCAGGAGGGUCGCCUCCUGCUUACCCAGUGACCACAAACCAACCGCAGCCCGGGGAAGC
rnacentral:lncRNA from 1 species